UGGGGAAUAUUGCACAAUGGGCGCAAGCCUGAUGCAGCCAUGCCGCGUGUGUGAAGAAGGCCUUCGGGUUGUAAAGCACUUUCAGCGAGGAGGAAGGUGGUGAGCUUAAUACGCUCAUCAAUUGACGUUACUCGCAGAAGAAGCACCGGCUAACUCCGUGCCAGCAGCCGCGGUAAUACGGAGGGUGCAAGCGUUAAUCGGAAUUACUGGGCGUAAAGCGCACGCAGGCGGUUUGUUAAGUCAGAUGUGAAAUCCCCGGGCUCAACCUGGGAACUGCAUUUGAAACUGGCAAGCUAGAGUCUCGUAGAGGGGGGUAGAAUUCCAGGUGUAGCGGUGAAAUGCGUAGAGAUCUGGAGGAAUACCGGUGGCGAAGGCGGCCCCCCUGGACGAAGACUGACGCUCAGGUGCGAAAGCGUGGGGCAGCAAACAGGAUUAGAUACCCCUGGUAGUCCACGCUGUAAACGAUGUCGAUUUUGGAGGUUGUGCCCUUGAGGCGUGGCUUCCGGAGCUAACG
rnacentral:rRNA from 1 species